rnacentral:rRNA from 1 species
UACGGAGGGUGCGAGCGUUGUCCGGAAUCACUGGGCGUAAAGGGCGCGUAGGCGGCUCGGUAAGUAGGGGGUGAAAUCCUGCGGCUUAACCGCAGGGCUGCCUUCUAAACUGUCGAGCUCGAGCACGGUAGAGGCAGAUGGAAUUCCCGGUGUAGCGGUGGAAUGCGUAGAGAUCCGGAAGAACACCGGUGGCGAAGGCGGUUGGCUGGGCCAUAGCUGACACUGAGGCGCGACAGCGUGGGGAGCAAACAGG